UCCCACCACUCACAGCCUCCCACACACAAAUUGGAAGCACAUAGGAGUCUACACAAAGCCGAUCCCCCCCUAACCCAGACAACCCACUGCCAAGGGGGCAGUGUGGGAGUGCAGGGCACAAACAUGUCUGCCUUGAACUCCUCCAGAAGAGGCCAGCAGAAGGGAGCCAUCUUCCACUCUGAGAUCCAGCUCGCCCUGCACCUGGGCCGCUCCUCCUACUGUGAGCAGAUCUCAGAUCUUCACACUGGAACCCCACCUAUCAAGGCUCACAGGGGCUCACAGCAUCCAGGUGGCCCCUCCUGUGUAAACUCAGGGCUGAAGCACAGCAAGGCUGGAGGGGCUGCAGUGCUCAGGCAGCGUCCAGCAUUCUGUGCCCACUGUUAGUGAAUGGGACUGUGCACCAUGGACCACUCUCCUGAGAACCUUCCCUCAUCUAUGUUGGGGAAUGGUUCUGUACACUGUGUACUCUGAUGGUGAUUUCUGUGCCCAGAGAUUGGUUACAGUCUGGACAUUAGCACUGCCAUCAUUAAUUGGCCCGACCUUAAUGUUGUGUAAAACUGUUUUCCUUCAACUCUAAUUGGUUAAUAAAGAGCUAAUCUGCCCAACAGAUGGGCAGGAGAGAGGAAGCAGUCAGGAUGUUCCAAGCAGAGGUACAGAGAGACAGAUAGGGCAAGGACGGGAUCUAUGAGCAAGUCACCAGGGGAGUCACCAUGAGAACACUGGUGGAGCAGAGACAGGACCAAGGUGACAAGUAGCAGGGCACAUGGCUGGGUGGUAGGCAGCCAUAUAGAUGAGAAUCUGCCCAGCUACAGUGCUUAAAGUUUGUUGGCAAAUAUAAGCUCUGAAUUACACAACCUCACUCAUGUAGAGUCUUGAAGCUGUUUUCUCCUAGGAACAGUAAGAUGCCGGUUACUGGGGUUUGAGUGGCGGAGGCUGGAUGUGCAGCAUCGGGGUGGAGAGUGGGAGAUGCAGAUCCAUAAUGAAGAGAGCUGGGAAGAAGGUGGUCAAGGACAAUAAAAUGUCAGCCACACAGCAGACACUCAAGAGAAUGCUAACAGAAGUGGUCCAGGAAUUAAGAUGUAAAGGCAAUGGGAACCACGCUCCUCUGACCUAGAAAAUAUACACAGAAAGGGAAGAGUCCUGAACGAGGCUUGUGAUGUCAGAUGAAAGCUCAAUGAGACAGCAUGGAUCAUGGCUUUUCUAUAUGAGUAGACAAGAAUGUAUCAGUGGCCGGUCCAGAGGACAGCAAGCUCUGUCUUCAGCUCACAGGGCUCUGGUUUCCAAGGCUGGCCUGGCUUCUGCCUGGUGUUUCCCUGCUCAGCAGGAGGUGAAGUUCUAAACAACCCCAUGGGGCCUUGUAUAUUACCUAUUACCACAUAAGUCUCUACACCUUGAGAUUUCCAGAGAAAAGGGCCGGAUGUCUGAGCAAUACUGCAGAGCUUGUCUUCAAGGGACAAUUACCCAUGCAAUUGCAAUUUGCAGCCACAGGAGGCUUCCUUGUUUACCAAGUUUGUCUGAGGACUAAAUCGUGUAAAGGCUCUGAGAAUCCUUCAGGAAGAACAACUCCAUAAGUCUCAGAUAACAACCGCUGACUCUUUACCAAACUGUACUUCAAAGCCUGGGUGCCAUCACUUCAGAAUUCGUGCCAGAUAUAAUGGCUCUGCUAACAUUCAGCUACAGGGUCUCACAUCAAUAUGAGUAAGCCGAUGUUCGCUAAGCUGGUACUUAUGUCUGAAGACUGACCCACACACCUUACACUUGGAAGAUUUCUCUUCAGUGUGAGUUUUCUGAUAGUAUGAAUACGCAGGUUCUGAACAAGGUUGAGGGACCAACUGAGUCCAGCCCGUGGCAACAAGCAAGAUAGUUCUGCUACAUAUUACAGCAAUAUAAACAAGGGAGUGAGAUGGCUCAGCAGAUAAAGGUGCUUGCAGCCAAGCCCGACAGCUCAAGUUCCAUCCCUGGCACCACAUGGAGGAGGAGAAAGGACAACUCAGGAAGUUGUCCUCUGAUCUACACACAUGGGAUGAGGCACACAGAAACACAACACACACACACACACACAGAUAUACACACACACAGAGAGAGAGAGAGACACAGAGAGACACAGAGACACAGAGACAGAGACACAGAGAUGGAUACCUGCUUUUAAAAGGAGAUGGGCCAGACAUGGUGAUGCAUACUCACUUAACAAUCUCAUCACUCAGGAACAAGGCAAGAGAAUCAGGAGUUUGAAGCCAGCCUGGGCUAAAUAAACUCUGUCUCUAAAAACUUCAAAUAAUAGUGAAACAAUAGUAAUACUAAUUAUAAAAAUAUAAGAAAACACAUGGAAACCUAUUAAAAGUGAACAGGAUACAUGAGAAUUCACACAUAAAGUUAUACUCUCUAUAUGUACAUACUAUGCAUGAUGAUAGAAGCACAGUUAGUGAGUCUGGAAGGCCCUGCAAUCUCAGCAUCCCAGAUCUGGAAAUAUUGAGGCAGGAGGACCAGGAGUUCAAGGCCAGCCUGAACUACAAGGUAAAACCUGUCUAGAGAGAAACAAACAAACAAACAAACAAAGUAUGGUUCCUAGCACCGAACUGAAUGACUCACAACUGCCUGUAACUUCAACUCCAGGAGAUAGAACACCAUCUUCUGGAAUCUGUACUCAUGUGCAGAGACCAUACACAUAAGCAUACAUACAAACAAUUAAAUGUAAAAAUAAAGAUUUAUUUUUAAAGGACGGAGGCAGGUGUGCUGGUGUUGGGUAUUCCUUUAAUCCUAGACAAACCUCUGUGAGGUCAA
rnacentral:lncRNA from 1 species